rnacentral:rRNA from 1 species
GAUGAACGCUGGCGGCGUGCCUAAUACAUGCAAGUCGAGCGAACAGACGAGGAGCUUGCUCCUCUGACGUUAGCGGCGGACGGGUGAGUAACACGUGGAUAACCUACCUAUAAGACUGGGAUAACUUCGGGAAACCGGAGCUAAUACCGGAUAAUAUAUUGAACCGCAUGGUUCAAUAGUGAAAGACGGUUUUGCUGUCACUUAUAGAUGGAUCCGCGCCGCAUUAGCUAGUUGGUAAGGUAACGGCUUACCAAGGCAACGAUGCGUAGCCGACCUGAGAGGGUGAUCGGCCACACUGGAACUGAGACACGGUCCAGACUCCUACGGGAGGCGGCAGUAGGGAAUCUUCCGCAAUGGGCGAAAGCCUGACGGAGCAACGCCGCGUGAGUGAUGAAGGUCUUCGGAUCGUAAAACUCUGUUAUUAGGGAAGAACAAAUGUGUAAGUAACUAUGCACGUCUUGACGGUACCUAAUCAGAAAGCCACGGCUAACUACGU